AAUGAAAACAAUCCCAUUCAUGAUAACACUAAGAACAAUAAAAUACUUAGAAAUAACUUUAACCAAGGAUCUAUACACUGAAAACUAUAAGAUGCUGAUGAAAGAAAUGGAGAUACAAAUAAGUGGAAAGAUAUACUGUGUUCAUGGACUGAAAGUUAAUAUUCUUAAAUUGUCCAUACUACCCAAAGCCAUCUAUAAAUGCAAUUCCUAUCAAAAUUUCAACAACAAUUUUCACAGAACUAGAGAAAACAAUCCUAAAAUUCAUACGGAACCACAAAACCCCAAACAGCCACAGCAGUCAUGAGAAAGAAUAAAGCUUGAGGCAUCACAUAUCCUGAUUUCAAAUUAUAUUGCAGAGCUAUAGAAGUAAAGUCAGUAUGGUAUUGGCAUAAAAACAGACACAUAGAUCAAUGUAACAGAAUUGAGAGCCUAGAAAUAAACUCAUGUAUACAUGGCAAACUAACAUUUGACAAAGGAUCCAAGAAUGCUUAAUGGGAAUAAGAUUGUCUCUUCAAUAGAUAACAUUGGGAAAACUAUAUAUCCACAUGCAAAAGAAUGAAAGUGGAUCCUCAUCUUAUAGCACUCACAAAAAUUAACUCAAAAUAGAUUGAAGACUUAAUUGUAAGACCUUAAGCCAUAAAAUUACUAGAAAAAAAUAUAUGGGAAAGCUCCUUGACAUUGGUCUUGGCAGUGAUUUUUGGAUAUGACAUCACAAGCCUAAGCAACGAAAACAAGAAUCAAUAUGUGGGACUGUGCAUGAACAUGCUAAGUCACUUCAGCCGUGUCUGACUCUUUGUGACCCUAUGGACUUUAGCCCACCAGGCUUCUCUGUCCAUGAGAUUCUUCAGGCAAGAAUACUGGAGUGGACUGUCAUGCCCUCCUCCAGGGGAUCUUCCCAACUCAGGAAUCAAACCUUCAUCUCCACAGCUCCUGAAUUGGCAAGCAGGUUCUUUAUCACUAGGGCCACCUGGGAUUAUAUCAAAGUAAAAAGCUUCUUCAAGGCAAACAGAAACAAUCAACACAAUGAAAAGGUAACCUAUGGAAUGGGAAAAAAAUAUCUGCAAACCAUAUAUAUGAUAAGGAGUAAAUAUCCAGCAGUCGUUCGCCUAGGCUGUGGCCCGGCUUCCAGAGGAAGGUGGGAGUCAAUCAUUUUGACAAGUCUCCUGAAAGGAACAGCUAGCAGGAGCUGA
rnacentral:lncRNA from 1 species